UAUUAGGUUGGUGCAAAAGUAAUCACGGUUUUUGCCAUUGAGCAUAAUGGCAAAACCCGCGAUUACUUUUGCACCAACCUAAUG
rnacentral:pre_miRNA from 1 species